UUCCAGACUCCUACGGGAGGCAGCAGUGGGGGAUAUUGCGCAAUGGGGGGAACCCUGAUGCAGCGACGCCGCGUGGGUGAAGAAGCGCCUCGGCGCGUAAAGCCCUAUCGGCAGGGAAGAAGGAGGACGGUACCUGACUAAGAAGCCCCGGCUAACUACGUGCCAGCAGCCGCGGGAAUACGUAGGGGGCAGGCGUUAUCCGGAUUUACUGGGUGUAAAGGGGGCGCAGACGGCAGCGCAAGCCAGGAGUGAAAGCCCGGGGCCCAACCCCGGGACUGCUCUUGGAACUGCGCGGCUGGAGUGCAGGAGGGGCAGGCGGAAUUCCUGGUGUAGCGGUGAAAUGCGUAGAUAUCAGGAGGAACACCAGUGGCGAAGGCGGCCUGCUGGACUGCGACUGACGUUGAGGCCCGAAAGCGUGGGGAGCAAACAGGAUUAGAUACCCGGGUAA
rnacentral:rRNA from 1 species